AGUAUAUAUUGUUGUGUUUGUUUUACUAAUUUUUCCUUUGUAUUUUAUGCAUAAAUGGAACCACCUGCAAUAACUCUGUUGAAUAAUUUGGACCUCAACGUUGAUAACUACACCAUCAGAAUUCGCAUUGUUCGUUUGUGGACAAGAGCUGAUUUCAAUAACGCUAGAAAAGUUUAUUGCUAUGAUAGUAAUGGACAGUGAGGGAACAAAAAUGCAAGCUUUUGUUUUAGCUAAAAACGCAACUGAAUAUCAACAUCUUUUAGAAGAAAAGCGUUGUUUGACGAUUUGAAAUCCUUCCUUGGGUGAGAAUCGUUAGAAGGUCAAAUACGCUCACGGUGGUUUGAAGAUUAACUUUAACAAGAACACCGUUGUCGAGGAAUGCCACGAGGCUAUUGGUUCUGAAUGGGGUUUUGAUUUUACUUCGUUUGAUUCUGUUGUGGAGGAUCCCACAGAUGACAACAAGUUUUUUAAAAGUCCAAUUGGUAUCAUAUACAUUAUACACUAUAUCCAUGCAACAUAACACAUAUUUAUUUUUAUGACACCAUUUAUAUUUUCCUCAGAUGUAAUUGGAUUUGUGGUCAAAAGUUUUCCCUUCGAGGUAGACAUGGAAACUAAUAAUGGAAAGAACCAGAAGAAAGUCACGUUUAUGCUUGAAGACUUGAACAAUAAGCAGAUUUUUGUGACACUUUGGGACGGUUAUGCUGAUCAAAUAAUGGAGUAUGAGAGCAGCAAUCGAGGUGAAAAAAACGUGGUCGUAAUCAUUCAGUUUGGAAAAUACAAAUUCUGGGGAGGUAUAUAACUACUUUAAAUCUAUUAUGUAUUUUAUUUACUGUAUCAAUUUUGUAACA